CCUCGGCCCGUCCGCCGCCCUUGCUGCUGUCUGGAGCCGCUGGAAAACGCAGCAGUUUUGGCCGAUUUUCCAACUUCAGUUUCUCCCUCAUCCGGCCACCAAAUCAGUCAUGUGAGGCAUCAGGGGCCAAACUGAACCACAGGAGGGACCUUCAAGAGGUCCAGCUAGCUCGGACCAGCAGUGAGUGGACCUUUCUUUUUAUUCAUCAUUUUCUGAAUCAGUUUUAUUCAGUGUGAUUUAUUCCUAUGAAUUUAAAGAUUCCUUCUAUACAUUGCUUAGCUGAUUUUGCUAAAGUUAUUUGGACAACAGACUUUGAGAUUUAUGAUUCAGAAAUAUCUAGCUCAGAUUUUAUCAGAAUACAGAGGAUGUCAGAUUUUAUCCAAGAUAAUUAUUUUAGACCACCAUGAAUUAUAGAAAGCAGAGUUUGAGUUUUCUAUCAGAUAAAAAGGGCAGCACAGUUAUAGAUUGAAUAAAGAUUCAGUUAUUCAUCAGAUCUUUCAGAAAUAUUAUGAUAUUUAUAUUUG